rnacentral:misc_RNA from 1 species
GUGAAUCAUCAAAUUUUUGAACGCAUAUUGCACUCUCUGGUAUUCCGGAGAGUAUGCCUGUUUGAGGGUCAUUUUAAAUCAUAUAAAUUCGAAUAUUUCUCGUAAUUUAAAAUGGGGGGUCCAUUUUUUUUGUUCGCCUAAAAUCCAAGACAAUCUCAUUUUCUUGGUUCUCGUGAUACGUUUAGUGACCUCGUUACUUAACUAGGAAUCAUCG